rnacentral:lncRNA from 1 species
AUGAUCCCAGAGUGGACCUCUGCCAGCCGGCGGAUCGCGCCCUUGCUGUGGUGGGCUCUCCAGGCUGGGCCUGGGCUCGAAACAGCUCGCACUCCAGUGCUGGGGAGAGGCGCUGCGAGCUGGAGCCGGAGCCGAAACUCAAGGUGCGUGUGGAUGCCGCCAGAAGGGGGGCUGCAGGGCGGGCAACCCCAGCAGAAGGCGAGUAAACCCCAGGGGCGAGGGGGCGCUGGAGGCAAGGUCAGGGGCCAGGGAAUGAAGUCCCGAGGCGAGCAGCCCCGUGGUCCCUUCUCCGCAGUUCAUCCCCCGCCCCCAUUUCCCCCACUUUCCCCAGGUUCACUUUGGAAAUGGGCUUGUCUUCUUGGCCGCCAGCAGUUUCCCCGGUAGAGCCCAGCCGGAACGGUCAGGUUCAAGAAGUGAGGCAGCGCCGGGCUGGGGAGCUGGGUUGGUGGGGUUGUAUCUUGGGAGAUUCUUUCCCCAAUUGUCAAUGUUGUGCUUAUUUUUAGUUGUGACCCGAGCCGGCAGCUGUGCCUUUAAGCCGCGUUCCCAUUCGGGGAAACCGACGCCAGCACUCGAGGGUCGGGAGGCGCUGGAGAGGCCCCUCGUUCCGUACUCCCCUUUCCUCCCCCUCCCCUCCCCUCCCCCGCCCCCUCUUCCCUCCCCUCCUCCGCCGCCCGGCCGCCUCGCCCCCCCACCCCCCCCCUCCG